CUUUUUUACAACCAUUUACGAAUUGACAUACGCGAUUCUGAAGUACAGUGCACGGUAUAACAUUCAUAUGUUUCGUUAUUAUAAACUAACUGAUUCCUUGAAGGCAACUCUUACAACUUUAACUAGCACAAAUAUGUUUAUUCUUCUAUAGACAGUAUUAUAAGUUUGAUUUAAAUCAAAAUAUCAUUUCUAAUUUUAGAUAUAAAAAGACUAAAUAUUUCCCAAAC
rnacentral:lncRNA from 1 species